rnacentral:rRNA from 1 species
UACGAAGGGGGCUAGCGUUGCUCGGAAUCACUGGGCGUAAAGGGCGCGUGGGCGGCCAUUCAAGUCGGAGGUGAAAGCCCAGGGCUCAACCCUGGAAUUGCCUUCGAUACUGUUUGGCUAGAGACCGGAAGAGGUAAGUGGAACUGCGAGUGUAGAGGUGAAAUUCGUAGAUAUUCGCAAGAACACCAGUGGCGAAGGCGGCUUACUGGUCCGGUUCUGACGCUGAGGCGCGAAAGCGUGGGGAGCAAACAGG